UGUAACUCAGCGGGUUGGGCAGCAUUUCUGGAGAACAAGGAUAGGAGAUACAUGAACAUGUAAGGAACUGGCAAUCUGCUUCUCUGGAAUAGAAGUGCUGGGACUGUAGAUCACAAUCAUUUUCAUAAUGAAAAAAAGUAGAAGUGUCUUGGCAGUGACUGCGGAAGAUAAUGGUAAUGAUUCCCCGGAGCAUGGUCUUAGCAAAUCUUAUACCUCCUCUGGAACCACGCUUGGAGUGGAUUUACGAAGAGGAAGAAGACGUUUCUCUGGUAAUCUUCAGUUGCCACCGUUGUCUUGGAGGCAGGGGGAAAGAGCGAAGACUCCAGAAAGAGACAGCAUACCAAGACCUACUACAUUGCCAUUGCGAACACCACCACGGAUAGCUAUUACACCAGUGGACCA